rnacentral:rRNA from 1 species
UACGGGGGGGGCAAGCGUUGUUCGGAAUUACUGGGCGUAAAGGGCUCGUAGGUGGCCAAUUAAGUCAGACGUGAAAUCCCCAGGCUCAACCUGGGAACUGCGUCUGAUACUGGUUGGCUUGAAUUCGGGAGAGGGAUGCAGAAUUCCAGGUGUAGCGGUGAAAUGCGUAGAUAUCUGGAGGAAUACCGGUGGCGAAGGCGGCAUCCUGGACCAUUACUGACGCUGAGGCGCGAAAGCUAGGGGAGCAACGGG